CCUACGGGGGGCAGCAGUGAGGUAUAUUGGUCAAUGGACGAGAGUCUGAACCAGCCAAGUAGCGUGAAGGAUGACUGCCCUAUGGGUUGUAAACUUCUUUUAUAUGGGAAUAAAACGUUCCACGUGUGGGAUUUUGUAUGUACCAUAUGAAUAAGGAUCGGCUAACUCCGUGCCAGCAGCCGCGGUAAUACGGAGGAUCCGAGCGUUAUCCGGAUUUAUUGGGUUUAAAGGGAGCGUAGGUGGAUUGUUAAGUCAGUUGUGAAAGUUUGCGGCUCAACCGUAAAAUUGCAGUUGAAACUGGCAGUCUUGAGUACAGUAGAGGUGGGCGGAAUUCGUGGUGUAGUGGUGAAAUGCUUAGAUAUCACGAAGAACUCCGAUUGCGAAGGCAGUUCACUGGACUGCAACUGACACUGAGGCUCGAAAGUGUGGGUAUCAAACAGGAUUAGAUACCCUUGUAGUC
rnacentral:rRNA from 1 species